UCAGUCCCGUCCUCCUGGAAGCCACCAUCUGCAGGGUUGAGAGUGGAAGGCUUCUGACAGACGCAUGGGCGAGAAUGUGAGGGAGGACAGGAUUGGAGAGCUGAGGGCGGGGAGCCCUGAUUUAUCUCUCACUAGUGAUAAGACAAGGUUAUCUGGGAGCCAUGCUCAUUGGUCAGCCACUACCCAACAAGUCAGAUGGUAUGAUACAGGUAAAGUGCCCGCGUGGCCCACGGCAUCAGUAACUGGCAGCUAUUUGGAUGACUUGACUGUGGUGGUUGGGGUAGGCUGAAUAAUGCUCUCCCAAGCCCCAGGAUGUCCACCUCCCCACCUAUGAUGUGGUGAGCUGAGGAAAGAAGUGAGGACGGCAGCCACUGGAGGACCCACGGUGGACAGGACACUCCUGCUCUUCUAGGGAGGAAACAGCACAGGACAGGGACUGUGGGGUGGAAGCUGUUUACAGUAUGUCUGUGACCCUGUCUCAUGGGGUUCCUGGGUGGAGGGUACAACUUCUCUGUCUCCAGUGUCUCAUGAGCACCUGUUUUGAGCUUAAUGUUUGUGUCACAAAAUUCACAUGUUGAAGUUCUAAUUACUAAUUUGCAGGUGGGACUUUGGGGAGGUAAAUGGGCUCAGUAAAGUUAUGAGGGUGGGGCCCCCAUGAUGGGAUUAGUGACUUUAUAAGAAGAGGAACCAGGACUUGCUCUCUCCAUUGUGUCUUCACACAGUAAAAAGGCAGCCACCUGCCACCAGGAAGACAGCUCUCACCAGGGAUCCUAGACUUCCCAGACUCCAGAACUGUGAGAAACACUUGUCUGUGGUUCAGGCUGCACAUCUAUGGCAUUUUGUUACAGCAGCAGAAGCUGUAACAAGCGGACUAAACAUCAGUUUUGUUCUGUCUUUGGGAGCCCCCUGGAGUUCAUGUCAAUAUGAGUCUUCAACUCUGUGAGCUGCUUGGAUGGGUGGCUGCAGCUGCUACCAUAGCAACUGUGUCUGGGCCUCUGACCACGCAACGCCACCUACAGACUGUGUUUCGAUUCAACCUCAACCUCGGCCUCCUCCACCAGAUGCCUAGGAGCACGGCUUCCUCACUCCGAUUCUCCUUCUCUGCAAGCAGUCGGAUAUGGCAGGGUGUUGAGGAAAUAGAGUAGGAAAGGAAGCAGAAGUCUGGAAAACUCAGAGUUGACCCAUCUGUUCAUUUGCAAAUGAACAGAUUUUGAAUCUAGCUUGGUUUUAAAAGUCUAGAACUUGGCGACUCUGCAGAGGAAAUAUUCUAUAGGGUCAGUCUAGCUUGCCUUGUCCACUUCCCUUACACACCUUCUGCACACCACUAACACCCCGUGGCUGCUAAGAUAUGAGAAAACACUCUGUGAAAUCAUUCUUGUGAUCAAAAUUAAACGUCUUGUUGCAAUCUGGAGAGGAAAGUAACAGAGUGGAGUCAGCCCCUGUGAGAACUGACCGUCCAGCCCUUCCCACACACGGUGACCUGGGUCAGGGAGGAACAACGUGACAUGUGACACGUUGGCAACAGACCUACUGAGACACUCCAGGGAUGGAAACCAAAGAAGAACAUUAAAUAUUUGAAUUCUGGGCAAUUUUUAAUCCCCAGCUGUGAAGGGACAGGAGAGCAAACACUGUCUAUAGAACCAAGGGCACAUUCCUGGGGGCCCCAAGAAUGCCACUCGGUUCUUCUGGUUACUGCUGAUUCGCAGUGGAAGCCUCUCCCACAGGUGGCUCCAGUCACACCUGCCUCUGGAGAGGGGCCAUAAAGAGGCCAACAUUUUUCUGCUGUAAGCAUCGCAGUCACACAAUGACACUUUUAUGGAGAUGUCUGUCACUGUGUUUAUCUUAUACUGUGACUUCUAUCAAGAUGAGAGCCAAAAGGGAAUCCUAGCAUUCCUUGAGCCCACAAUUGAGGGCAGGUGUGUACCACUCAAAAAAAAAAGAAAGAAAAAAAAUAAAUUCCACAAGUUCACUUUGUUUUACAAAAAAAUUACCUAAAUUCUGACCUGAAGGAAUUAGGUCAUGUUUGUUCUUGGAGACAGCGUCAGUGGAGGGUACAGAGCACCUGGGUCCCAUGGCCUCAGUGCAUCUUCAUGAGGUCUCUGUUGCUGGCAACAGCUUCAUGUGGCCAUGUCCCCACCCAGUUCCAUAAGGAGGCCGGGGGUGUCUGCUGUGCCCUGAGCUGUACUCAGUGGUGGUGUUGGCUCUCACAAUCCCAACACACAAGUUUCAGAACAAUUCCAACAAUCCUGUCACCAGGCAUUCCUGACACAGCCCAGCAUUCUCCUAGGUCAACAAUCACUGCUAAGCAAGAAGUGACUGUCUCAUGCCUUGGGUGCAUUUGCUACUAUUGUUUUCAGAAGAAAAUGCAGGAAAUGUGCUAGCAAAAUUGGGAAAGACUGGCAAAUUAAAAGGUUAGAAAAUUACAAAAAUAUGUAAAUUAAUAUAUAUGAAUUACUUUAUAUACAGUUAAUAAAAGCAAUCACACCUGCCUCCAA